GACGAACGCUGGCGGCGGGCUUAACACAUGCAAGUCGAACGGUGAAGCGCCUUCCUUUUUGUUGGGUGUGGAUGGGGGGCGGACGGGGGAGGAACACGUGCGUAACCUGCCCCCUUCUUCGGGAUAACCGCAGGAAAGUUACGCUAAUACGGGAUAUUCUGGGUCUGUCGCAUGAUGGGUCGUGGGAAGAUAGUGUUUCUGUGUGGGAUGGGCUCGCGGCCUAUCAGCGUGUUGGUGGGGGGAUGGCCUACCAAGGCGGUGACGGGUAGCCGGCCUGAGAGGGUGGGCGGCCAGACUGGGAAUGAGAGGCGGCCCAGACUACCACGGGCGGCAGCAGGGGGGAAUAUUGCACAAUGGGAGACAGCAUGAUGCAGCGCCGCCGCGUGAGGGAUGGCGGCCUUCGGGUUGUGAACCUCUUUCGCGAGUGAAGCAGGCCUGCCUCGUGUGUGGGUGGGUUGACGGUAGCUGGAUAAGAAGCGCCGGCUAACUACGUG
rnacentral:rRNA from 1 species